rnacentral:rRNA from 1 species
UCUGGUGUCGAUGCGCUUAGGGGACACACCCGUUCCCAUCCCGAACACGACGGUUAAGACUUAAGCGGCCGAUGGUACUAUGCUGGAGACGGCAUGGGAGAGUAGGUGGAUGCCAGAU